rnacentral:ncRNA from 2 species
CCCGAUACCUCGGGGUGUCCGGCCGAUCCGCGGCCGGGCUGAGAUGCAUCUUGCGAACCCGUUGAACCUGAACCGGUUAACACCGGCGGAGGGAAGGUGACGGCCUCGCGC